rnacentral:rRNA from 1 species
GGAAUUUUGGACAAUGGGCGCAAGCCUGAUCCAGCAAUGCCGCGUGAGUGAAGAAGGCCUUCGGGUUGUAAAGCUCUUUUGUCAGGGAAGAAACGGGUUUUUCUAAUACAGAGACCUAAUGACGGUACCUGAAGAAUAAGCACCGGCUAACUACGUGCCAGCAGCCGCGGUAAUACGUAGGGUGCAAGCGUUAAUCGGAAUUACUGGGCGUAAAGCGUGCGCAGGCGGUUUUGUAAGACUGUCGUGAAAUCCCCGGGCUCAACCUGGGAAUGGCGAUGGUGACUGCAAGGCUAGAGUUUGGCAGAGGGGGGUAGAAUUCCACGUGUAGCAGUGAAAUGCGUAGAUAUGUGGAGGAACACCGAUGGCGAAGGCAGCCCCCUGGGUCAAAACUGACGCUCAUGCACGAAAGCGUGGGGAGCAAACAGGAUUAGAUACCCCUG